AAUCCACAUCAGCUUUGACAGUUACAGUGUUUCUUCUUCCAAUUUUCUAUUUCCUUUAUUUCAUUCAAUCCAAUUUUAUCGUUCACAACCAUUCAUCAGCGGUUACAAUCACGUUUCAAUCUUCAUAUCCAACCAUCCUUUCUCAUCCUUUCUCUCUCGCACGGGUAACAAAAUUUCCCCAAAUUCUAACCCUUUUCUUCUUCAAUCGAUCCCUAUUGUGAUUUUGUUCUUCUUCUGCUUCUCUUCUCUGUAACAUUAAUUGUGGAAAUGGAAGAACGAAUUUGAUGGCUUCGAACCAUUGAACUAACAAUUACUUAAAGCCAUUUGGAAUCGAUGAAGAUUCUUCCAUCUGGUGCUGAUAAAAUUCCUCAUUUGAAUGUUGUAAUUCUCGGUGAAAAUAUUGCUAACGAAGAAGAAGAUUAUGUUCUUCCCAGCGAAGAAUUCGCUUCCAAAGCACAUGUUCGAUGACCGGAACAGUAUCUGCAGAUGUAUAAGAGAUCCAUUGAGGAUCAAUGGUUUGACAGACUACAAGCAUCCCGUCCAGAUAAUGGCUGAUGCCCUUACUAUGAUUGAGCACAUUGGUCGGUUUGAAGGAACCAAGGACUUACAAAUGAGCCAAAAUGGGGGCUUCUAAGAAAUUUACAUAGAGAAAUAAAGCAAUGCGAAUCAGCUUUAGUGUCCGUGGAUCCGACAGUGUCAUGGCCUGGAAAAAACCUUGAGGUACAUCUUUACAAGACAAGCUUUGGUGCUUGUGCUGCCUUCCUUGCAAAUUACGACACCUCAUCAUGGGCUUUGUUUUUGAAUUUAGACACCAGUUAGCUUGAUGUAUAUGGCUGCUGAGAUGAUGUGACGGUGAUUGGAAUAUAGAAAAGUUUGUUAUUUAUUGCUGACAAGUGGAAGGACAAGCGGUUUGUCGAGAAUGGUCGGUGAUCACGAAUUUACGAUGACUGGAACGGAGGCAUGGACAUUUGCUGUUGCCACUCACACUGAUGGUGGUUGAGUUCUGCAGCAACUGUGGAGUUUUACUAUUGUUCUAUCAUUUCCGUCGACGAAUCCGAUUGUGAUUCGAUUUGCGAUCAUUUUUUGCGGAGGAUGGAAUUGGAGGAAGAAGUGAGGAGGGAACUUGCAAUCGAGAGAGAAUUGGGGAUUUCAACACAGAGGCCGCUGAAUAUUUAGGGACUAAUGUCGCAGUGGUCAAAUUCAAUGCUGAUGAACCCUGUUGCUAUUGGCCAUAUUGGUGCGUCGCAGUGGUCAAAUUCAAUGCUGAUGAACCCUGUUGCUGUUGGCCAUAUUGGUGCGUCGCAACCGCAAUUGAUUACUUGGAGCUGAUAUUUAUUGAUAAAAAUGUAAGUAAUUUUAGAACCAAAAUGUCAUCUAUUUUAUCUUAAUUAUGAAUGAAUGGCAAAUUUCUGACUUAAACUUCAUCUGACAAGGGUAUAGUGACUGAAUCAUCUGAUUUAUCAGAGGGAGUUGUGCUGGAGUUUCCAGAGCUCACAAGUUCUACAGGACGCAACCACUGGCUUGCAUUGAUAAGGGAGAUAAUGUUUCUCCAUCAGUUUUUAUCGAAGUACCAGAUAAAAUGUCCAAUUCAAACAUGGGAGAUGCAUGCAAGGACAAUAUUAGGAAUCAUAAGGCUUCAUGCAGCAAGGGAAAUGCUAAGAAUAUCACCUUCUGUCCCAACGAAAUUCUUAAUAUUUUCCUUAAGACUAUGAACAUUGUCGGUCCUGUGGUCUCCGAUUCAAUACGUGACUGAUAUAUUUAGCUCAUAAUAUAACAGGAUAUGAGACAACUGGCAGCAAGUUCAAUUGUCUCUUGAGAGAGGCCUUCCUGCCAUGAUUGGCAACUUCGUUGUAAGACAGCUUCCGUAUCCAUCAUUAUCAUUUGACAUGAUUCAAUGUGCUCACUGUGAUAUCAUUUAGGAUGAAAAAGAUGGAAUGUUCCUCAUAGAAGUUGCAAACUAUUCUUAAAAGGCUUGAACUAUCAGUGACUGGGGUUCUUUGUUUCCGUACCGUACAUCAGGCUUAUAAAUGGGAGGAGAAACUGAGGUGUUUUAUGCAGGUUUAGAUUGUGGUAAAGUUUGGAAUUAACCUGUAUACCAUAUUUGCCACUCAUAUGGAGAAUAUAUCGGAAUUAGCAACAAUCUAUCAUAACGUGAAAAUUCAUCACUUUCAUGUCGAAUUAAAAAGCAACCAUUUGGAGUUCAAGUUUCAACUUAAGGAAGGACCGAAGCAUAUCCCCCAUUAUGGGCCUCUCUUAGCCGAAGAGGCAGGAUUACCAAGUUCAGUUAUUGAGACAGCCAGAAUGAUCACAGGUUCAUUUCAUGCUUAUUAUUGGUCGGAAGUACAUACGAAGUUUGUGGUGACUCGACUGAGUUAAUCAAUAUUGACAGGUGGGAAUGUAGUUGCAAAACAUGGCAGCUGUGACAUAGCUUGGAUUUGAAUUUAGAUUGGAUUAGUUGUGUUUGUUGAUUGUUGAGAGGCAUUCCCCAGAUUACUAACAACAAUCUGUCCCAAACAAUCUGAAGCUAAAACUUUAACAAUGCAAGAAGGUCGGUCUCGAGACUCCCGGUAGUUUCAUUGGAAAUAUGUUGAAUUGUGGUGUGGGUUAUCAGCAUCUUUGCUUAUCUGAUAAUGCAAAUGAAGGUUCUUCACAUAAAUUUUUUUUGGUAGCGUUUUGUUUUACUGGUGCAAAGGGUACAAGCGUCAAGUUUUUGAAGAUGUUCCAGGUACCUACUCACCAACCUUGUGUUGCAUUAGGAAUGAUAGCUUCAAUUACACAGUCACCGGCUGCUUGAAAAGAAAAAACCAGUACUAUCUGUAGAAUAAAUUAAAGAAAGAAAAUUCAUUGUGGAUUAGGGCCAUGGUUUGCGGUGGAAUUGUCUUCUUGUCAGAAAACUACUCUACUUCACUUCACUAUGAGUAUCUUAUAAAUAAAGAGUGAUUUUUGCUUUGUGUGUGACUGUCUGUUUUUGUUUUUUUUAAGAGGUGUGUGGUUGAAUUGAAACAUGUAAUUUUCUUUAUUCAAAUUAUUGUUCUGAUUGAUGAUUUAAGUGUUUCUAUAGUGUUGCGAUUAUUUAAUCAUGUAUUCAUUUAUACAUUAAUAGAUGAGUAGACCAAAUCUGCUAAUAUUGUAGUCGGUUAAUUUUGUACGGUUUGAUAUGCAGUGUACUAUCAGUUUAAGUUUUCUAUGCACGAAGCAAUCAAUAUUAGUUUAAAUGUAAAGCAAUAUACUAAUAUUAGUUUGAAUGUAAAGCAAUAUAUGGUUUUGUUUAGGGGGACAAUUUCAUAACCCAACGAAAAAUAUUGGAUAACUUUAGCCACCUUAUUUGUCUUAAUUAAAUUGGUCUAAAAAUUUGUCUUAAUUAAAUUGGUCUAAAAAUGUACACAUUUAAUAUCAUAGUUUAUAUUUAAUGGCAUUCAUCCAUGGAUAGUUAAUGACAUAAUGAUGACUAUCUCAACCAAACAAUGAGCACAUAUUUUUUUAAAGAACUACUAAUUAGUAGUUUU